rnacentral:sRNA from 1 species
GCAGGUUCGGUGUCGAACGCAGUGAGACAACGGAGCCGCUUGCGGCGACGGCCCGAAGGGCGAGCGAAGCGAGUCAUCCUGCACGACCCACCA